AUUAUCUCUUCCUCCCAACUAAACAGGUCAAUUAUUUGCUUGUGGGUCGCCGGCCUGAGCUGGUAUCAUAUGAGUUAGUUGUGUGAAUCAUUGUACGCCUCCAUAAGCCAUCUGUCCACGACAACUCUCCAUGCCUACCUUCUCGUCACCUUCCUCAGAUAGCAGCUGCAAGCAAACAAUGCGAAUAUAUACAUGUACUUCGCGUAUUCGUGUGGUGGUUUAUCUGCGCCUACGCGCGAGGGAGAGUAGAAGCUCCGACCUUGCCAAUGGCAAUGCCGUGGGAGAUGGUGGUGUGCAUAGCGGGCAACGUGUGGGUGCUGCUCGCCGGCUGGAUCUCCGUCUGCUUCCUGGCCGCGGACGAGGCCGCCCGCCUCCUCCGGUCGGCUACCGAUUGAUCAUUGAUGAUCAGGAUAACCAGAGGAAAUGUUGGUUAAAUACAAAGUAUGUCUGGAGCAUGGUGUUAUUAUGUCAGAGAAACUGUCAAGUAUCUUCUCAACGAGUUGGAGGGAGGAAAAUUGGUGGAGCAAUUCAUGGUGCUGCUACUCUAUAACCUGGAGAUGAUGCUGCCACUGGAACCAAACUCUAGAAGUGGAACAGUGUGAACUAUGUGCUUUCUUCGGAAUCCAAUGUUGGAGGUACACUUCAUGGCGCGAGAAUCACACUGUAGUAUCUCGAGAAGCACCCCAUAGAUGAUGAUUCAAUCCAUGCCCUUAUAUGAGACAACCGGGGCUUUGGAACUUUGCCCCCACUAGUAGAGUAGACUUUUAGUUUGUACUUUGUGUUUUGUACCUCCUAUACACAAAUUGUUUUGACCGUUCUUUUAAUUUUCCAAUGGUACCUGUAAGGGAUGUUCCUUUUGGGGGUAUGAUCGUGUGACCAAUUGGUUUCCUUUCAAUGAAAUGGAGUCAUGCA